rnacentral:rRNA from 1 species
CGUAUCACCCAAGACAACUUUACGGAGUUGACGAUUGACGGAGCGAAGCGACGUCAAAGCGUUCAUUAAAGUCGAGUUGGCUUAGGGAUACGUUCGUUGGGUAGGGGAGCGUUCUGUAAGCCUGUGAAGGUGUGUCGUGAGGCAUGCUGGAGGUAUCAGAAGUGCGAAUGCUGACAUAAGUAACGAUAAAGCGGGUGAAAAGCCCGCUCGCCGGAAGACCAAGGGUUCCUGUCCAACGUUAAUCGGGGCAGGGUGAGUCGACCCCUAAGGCGAGGCCGAAAGGCGUAGUCGAUGGGAAACGGGUUAAUAUUCCCGUACUUGGUGUUACUGCGAAGGGGGGACGGAGAAGGCUAUGUUGGCCGGGCGACGGUUGUCCCGGUUUAAGCGUGUAGGUGUGUGUUCCAGGUAAAUCCGGUUCACUUUAACACUGAGGCGUGACGACGAGGCACUACGGUGCUGAAGCAACAAAUGCCCUGCUUCCAGGAAAAGCCUCUAAGCAUCAGGUAACAUCAAAUCGUACCCCAAACCGACACAGGUGGUCAGGUAGAGAAUACCAAGGCGCUUGAGAGAACUCGGGUGAAGGAACUAGGCAAAAUGGUGCCGUAACUUCGGGAGAAGGCACGCUGACACGUAGGUGAAGUGAUUUACUCAUGGAGCUGAAGUCAGUCGAAGAUACCAGCUGGCUGCAACUGUUUAUUAAAAACACAGCACUGUGCAAACACGAAAGUGGACGUAUACGGUGUGACGCCUGCCCGGUGCCGGAAGGUUAAUUGAUGGGGUCAGCGCAAGCGAAGCUCCUGAUCGAAGCCCCGGUAAACGGCGGCCGUAACUAUAACGGUCCUAAGGUAGCGAAAUUCCUUGUCGGGUAAGUUCCGACCUGCACGAAUGGCGUAAUGAUGGCCAGGCUGUCUCCACCCGAGACUCAGUGAAAUUGAACUCGCUGUGAAGAUGCAGUGUACCCGCGGCAAGACGGAAAGACCCCGUGAACCUUUACUAUAGCUUGACACUGAACAUUGAGCCUUGAUGUGUAGGAUAGGUGGGAGGCUUUGAAGCGUGGACGCCAGUCUGCGUGGAGCCGACCUUGAAAUACCACCCUUUAAUGUUUGAUGUUCUAACGUGGACCCGUAA